rnacentral:rRNA from 1 species
UACGUAGGGGGCAAGCGUUGUCCGGAUUUAUUGGGCGUAAAGAGCGUGUAGGCGGCUUGGUAGGUCUGCUGUGAAAACUCGGGGCUCAACCCCGAGACGUCGGUGGAAACCACCUGGCUAGAGUCCGGAAGAGGAGAGUGGAAUUCCUGGUGUAGCGGUGAAAUGCGCAGAUAUCAGGAAGAACACCCGUGGCUAAGGCGGCUCUCUAGUACGGUACUGACGCUGAGACGCGAAAGCGUGGGGAGCGAACAGG